rnacentral:rRNA from 1 species
GAUGAACGCUGACAGAAUGCUUAACACAUCAGCAAUUGAUUGGUGGCGGACGGGUGAGUAACGCGUAAAGAACUUACCUCACAGUUAGGGCCACCUUUUGGAAACGAAUGCAAUACCUACUACUGUGAGAGAGCUUUGCGUCCCAUUAGCUAGUUGGAGAGGUAACGGCUCACCAAGGCGAUGAUGGGUAGCCGGCCGGAGAGGGUGAUCGGCCACAAGGGGACUGAGACACGGACCUUACUCCUACGGGAGGCAGCAGUGGGGAAGAUUGGACAAUGGACCAAAGUCUGAUCCAGAAAUUCUGUGUGCACGAUGAAGUUUUCGGAAUGUAAAGUGCUUUCAGUUGGGAAGCGGUACCAACAGAAGAAGUGACGGCUAAAUACGUGCCAGCAGCCGCGGUAAUAC